rnacentral:sRNA from 1 species
ACAGGGAGUGGUGAUGCACACCUGUAAUCCCUGCAGCUCAGGAAGCUGAGGCAGGAGGAUCUCAAGUUCAGGGCCAGCCUCAGCAACUUAGUGAGACCCUGUCUCAA